GGGCGAUUGGCGCAGUUGGUGAGCGCGCUUGCUUGACAUGCAAGAGGUCGGAGGUUCGAGUCCUCCAUCGCCCA
rnacentral:tRNA from 1 species